rnacentral:rRNA from 1 species
AGCUUGCUACUUUUGCCGGCGAGCGGCGGACGGGUGAGUAAUGCCUGGGGAUCUGCCCAGUCGAGGGGGAUAACUACUGGAAACGGUAGCUAAUACCGCAUACGCCCUACGGGGGAAAGCAGGGGACCUUCGGGCCUUGCGCGAUUGGAUGAACCCAGGUGGGAUUAGCUAGUUGGUGAGGUAACGGCUCACCAAGGCGACGAUCCCUAGCUGGUCUGAGAGGAUGAUCAGCCACACUGGAACUGAGACACGGUCCAGACUCCUACGGGAGGCAGCAGUGGGGAAUAUUGCACAAUGGGGGAAACCCUGAUGCAGCCAUGCCGCGUGUGUGAAGAAGGCC